CCUACGGGAGGCAGCAGUGGGGAAUUUUCCGCAAUGGGCGAAAGCCUGACGGAGUGACGCCGCGUGGGGGACGAAGGCCUUCGGGUCGUAAACCCCUGUCAGAGGGAAAGAAGGGUGUCGGCGUGAAUAGCGCCGGCAUCUGACGGUACCUUCAGAGGAAGCCCCGGCCAACUCUGUGCCAGCAGCCGCGGUAAGACAGAGGGGGCAAGCGUUGCUCGGAAUCACUGGGCGUAAAGGGCGCGUAGGCGGGAUGGCAAGUCGGUCGUGAAAUCCUUCGGCUCAACCGAAGAACGUCGGCCGAUACUGCCGUUCUUGAGGGAUGCAGAGGAGAUUGGAAUUCCCGGUGUAGCGGUGAAAUGUGUAGAGAUCGGGAGGAACACCGGUGGCGAAGGCGGGUCUCUGGGCAUCUCCUGACGCUGAGGCGCGAAAGCGUGGGGAGCAAACGGGAUUAGAUACCCCGGUAGUCCACGCUGUAAACGAUGACGACUAGGUGUGGGGGGGGUUAGUCCUUUCCGUGCCGCAGCUAACGCAUUAAGUCGUCCGCCUGGGGAGUACGGCCGCAAGGUUGAAACUCAAAGGAAUUGACGG
rnacentral:rRNA from 1 species